UAACCGCAGCAUAUUUUUCACUUAUAAAUAGGGCUUUAUACUAAUGCUAUAAGAUAUAACAUACAUUUAACAUAUAUUGCCUGCGUUCGAAAAUAGCUUUAGCUGAUGUUGGGAAAAAAGGUUAAGUUGGUAGUAUUGAGAAUUCCCAACGCUGUGUUCGUUUUCUCCCAGCUGGAAGUAGUUGGAGAUCGAUCGAAUAGGUGCAUUUAGUGCAAAUGACAACAAAAUAUCUUAACAAGCGAUAACGUACGCACGUGUUUUAUAUAACUUAUACCUACGAUUGUUGAAAUUUAGCAAAUUCAAGGCUCUUUCUUUUCGUAUUGUUGAACAAGAAACGAAAGUCAAUAAAAAGAAUAUACAAAUUUAAUCAACAUUAAUUAUUAUUAUUAUGGAAAAAUUAUUAUUGAAGAAUAUUUUACUCGAAAACAUGUUUGAUUCUUCUAGUAUAUUUUAUCGUUUAAUAACAGUGAUGACGACGAUGAAGAAUUACAAAAUAUCUUGUUCAGUAACAACACGAGAUGAAAGGAGAAACGUACCAAAAAUAAAAAAUUAUUUGGAACACAUUGUAGCAAUUAAGUUAUAAUACAUGAAGAAUUAUCGAACUAUUAUUCG